rnacentral:rRNA from 1 species
UACAGAGGGUGCAAGCGUUAUCCGGAUUUACUGGGCGUAAAGGGCGCGUAGGCGGCCACCGCAAGUCGACUGUGAAAUCUCCGGGCUUAACCCGGAAAGGUCAGCCGAUACUGCGGGGCUAGAGUGCAGAAGGGGCAACUGGAAUUCUCGGUGUAGCGGUGAAAUGCGUAGAUAUCAAGAGGAACACCUGAGGUGAAGACGGGUUGCUGGGCCGACACUGACGCUGACAGCGCGAAAGCCAGGGGAGCAAACGGG